rnacentral:hammerhead_ribozyme from 1 species
AUUCAGCUGACAAGUCUCAAAUAAGACGAAACUUGCGUCCUAGAU